AUUGAACGCUGGCGGCAUGCCUUACACAUGCAAGUCGAACGGUAACAGGUUAAGCUGACGAGUGGCGAACGGGUGAGUAAUACAUCGGAACGUGCCCAGACGUGGGGGAUAGCUCGGCGAAAGCCGGAUUAAUACCGCAUGUGAUCUGAGGAUGAAAGCGGAGGACCGUAAGGCCUCGCGCGUUUGGAGCGGCCGAUGGCAGAUUAGGUAGUUGGUGGGGUAAAGGCUUACCAAGCCUACGAUCUGCAGCUGGUCUGAGAGGACGACCAGCCACACUGGGACUGAGACACGGCCCAGACUCCUACGGGAGGCAGCAGUGGGGAAUUUUGGACAAUGGGCGAAAGCCUGAUCCAGCAAUGCCGCGUGCAGGAUGAAGGCCUUCGGGUUGUAAACUGCUUUUGUACGGAACGAAAAGGCGCCUACUAAUACUGGGUGUUGAUGACGGUACCGUAAGAAUAAGCACCGGCUAACUACGUGCCAGCCGCCGCUGUAACAC
rnacentral:rRNA from 1 species